AGUGAACGCUGGCGGUAGGCCUAACACAUGCAAGUCGAACGGCAGCACAGUAAGAGCUUGCUCUUACGGGUGGCGAGUGGCGGACGGGUGAGGAAUACAUCGGAAUCUACUUUUUCGUGGGGGAUAACGUAGGGAAACUUACGCUAAUACCGCAUACGACCUACGGGUGAAAGCAGGGGAUCUUCGGACCUUGCGCGAUUGAAUGAGCCGAUGUCGGAUUAGCUAGUUGGCGGGGUAAAGGCCCACCAAGGCGACGAUCCGUAGCUGGUCUGAGAGGAUGAUCAGCCACACUGGAACUGAGACACGGUCCAGACUCCUACGGGAGGCAGCAGUGGGGAAUAUUGGACAAUGGGCGCAAGCCUGAUCCAGCCAUACCGCGUGGGUGAAGAAGGCCUUCGGGUUGUAAAGCCCUUUUGUUGGGAAAGAAAAGCAGCAGGUUAAUACCCCGCUGUUCUGGCGGUACCCAAAGAAUAAGCACCGGCCAACUUCGUG
rnacentral:rRNA from 1 species